rnacentral:rRNA from 1 species
AGUGAACGCUGGCGGUAGGCCUAUCACAUGCAAGUCGAACGAGUGGCGGACGGGUGAGGAAUACAUCGGAAUCUACUCUGUCGUGGGGGAUAACGUAGGGAAACUUACCCUAAUACCGCAUAAGUUUGCAUGAGCCGAUGUCGGAUGAGCUAGUUGUCGGGGGAAAGGCCCACAAAGGCGACGAUCCGUAGCUUGUCUGAGAGGAUGAUCAGCCACACGGGAACGGAGACACGGGCCAGACUCCUACGUGAGGCAGCAGUGGGGAAUAGUGGACAAUGGGCGCAAGCCUGAUCCAGCCAUACCGCGUGGGUGAAGAAGGCCUUCGGGUUGUAAAGCCCUUUUGUUGGGAAAGCGGUACCCAAAGAAUAAGCACCGGCUAACUUCGUGCCAGCAGCCGCGGUAAUUC